rnacentral:rRNA from 1 species
UCAGUCGACUCCUACGGGGAGGCAGCAGUGGGGAAUAUUGGACAAUGGGCGAAAGCCUGAUCCAGCCAUGCCGCGUGUGUGAAGAAGGGCCUUCGGGUUGUAAAGCACUUUCAGUAGGGAGGAAAAGUUGGUGGUUAAUACCCAUCAGCCCUGACGUUACCUACAGAAGAAGCACCGGCUAACUCCGUGCCAGCAGCCGCGGUAAUACGGAGGGUGCGAGCGUUAAUCGGAAUUACUGGGCGUAAAGCGUACGUAGGCUGUUACUUAAGCUAGAUGUGAAAGCCCCGGGCUCAACCUGGGAACUGCAUUUAGAACUGAGUAGCUAGAAUGUGUGAGAGGUAAGUGGAAUUUCCAGUGUAGCGGUGAAAAUGCGUAGAGAUUGGAAAGAACACCAGUGGCGAAGGCGACUUACUGGCAUAACAUUGACGCUGAGGUACGAAAGCGUGGGUAGCAAACAGGAUUAGAUACCCUGGUAG